rnacentral:rRNA from 1 species
AUACGUAGGUGACAAGCGUUAUCCGGAUUUACUGGGCGUAAAGGGCGUGUAGGCGGCCUUGCAAGUCAGAAGUGAAAUUCCUGAGCUCAACUCGGGCGCUGCUUCUGAAACUGCAGGACUUGAGUGCUGGAGGGGAUAGCGGAAUUCCUAGUGGAGCGGUAAAAUGCGCAGAUAUUAGGAAGAACACCGGUGGCGAAGGCGGCUUACUGGACGGUAACUGACGUGGAGGCGCGAAAGGGUGGGGAGCAAACAGGAUUAGAUCCCCUGGUAGUCCACGCCGUAAACGAUGAAUACUAGGUGUAGGGGGUAUCGACUCCCUCUGUGCCGCAGUUAACACAAUAAGUGCCCCGCCUGGGGAGUACGGUCGCAAGACUAAAACUCAAAUGAAUUGACGGGG